CGCGCAGGCGGUUUGUCAAGUCCCGUGUGAAAUCCCCCGGCUCAACUGGGGAACUGCGCGGGAAACUAGCGAGCUUGAGUUCGGGAGAGGGAAGCGGAAUUCCGGGUGUAGCGGUGAAAUGCGCAGAUAUCCGGAGGAACACCAGUGGCGAAGGCGGCUUCCUGGACCGACACUGACGCUGAGGCGCGAAAGCUAGGGGAGCGAACG
rnacentral:rRNA from 1 species